UGUUGCUAAUUGACAUAUCCAGUUGAAGAAUCCAGGCCUGCUCUUUGACUAUUGGGCUGAAGUCCUGUGUGGGGAAAAAGCUGCCAAGAGGUGGGCCCGGUCGAAAGACACCCUGCAGCACCGAGGGUGGAGAUGUGUUUCCACAGUAUGGGGCCAGGAAGAGCAGAGUGGGAAAGCAAAGCCUGAGGCAGGAAGAGAAGGAAGUAUCCUCAAGAAAAAUGUGGUUUCCCAGAAAAGGAGGGUUUUGAAGGAAGAUAAUGACUGAAUGGAGGGAGGGUCAUUUGCUGGCUCUGGAAGAGGUGGAGUUUAUUGAAUAAUGGCUCUAUUCCCCCAUCUCCCAUGACGCUUGGCCACAGUGGACUAGUAUAUGCCUGUAUCUGCUCUCCUCCACAGCUGACAGCAGAGGACCUCUUGUCAAUAAGCCUUUUGUCUGGGGUUAUAUUUUACCCAUUGCUUUUGUUUAGUUAUCAUAUUGUUCUGAGUCCUACACUGUAUAAAAUGCUGUGAUUUCAUGUUUUCUUUCUUUUUAAAAUGAAAUUAAUUUUUAAUAUCUAUUUUGUGAGCAUCAAUUCUUCCCCAGUGAUCUAACAGCUAUGGGAGAUGUUUUUUGAGUUCUUCUUCUCCCUUUAGUAAUGGUCAUAUUGCAGUUGUAACAGUCAUAAUGCGGUUGUUUGACCAAACUCUUAACUUAAAGAGAUUGUGUGGUUCCAUUUCCUGUUUGCUUUCACCUUGAUUUUUCUCUAAACUCUCUUGGUAGAUGUAUGUCAUUUGAAAUGCAUUCAUGAGCAAACACAUAAGUAAAUAAUAUGGAAGGAAAACUCCAUGCCCCGGUUCACAGAGAAUGUAGACAGUACUUUGUGCUGUAUG